AAUCCGUGAUGUGGAUACCUCCACAAAAGAUCCUUGAAGCACUCCCAUGUCUCAAAGAAUGACUCUAACUCCAUCUGCACAAAUGAUAAAAUCUCAUUGCGAAGUUU